GAUGAACGCUGGCGGCGUGCUUAACACAUGCAAGUCGAACGGAAAGGCCGAAGCUUGCUUCGGUACUCGAGUGGCGAACGGGUGAGUAACACGUGGGUGAUCUGCCCUGUACUUCGGGAUAAGCUUGGGAAACUGGGUCUAAUACCGGAUAUGACGAUCUCUUGGAUGGGGUUGUGGAAAGCUUUUGCGGUAUGGGAUGAGCUCGCGGCCUAUCAGCUUGUUGGUGGGGUAAUGGCCUACCAAGGCGUCGACGGGUAGCCGGCCUGAGAGGGUGUACGGCCACAUUGGGACUGAGAUACGGCCCAGAGUCCUACGGGAGGCAGCAGUGGGGAAUAUUGCACAAUGGGCGCAAGCCUGAUGCAGCGACGCCGCGUGGGGGAUGACGGCCUUCGGGUUGUAAACUCCUUUCGCAAUCGACGAAGCCUUUUGGUGACGGUAGGUUGAGAAGAAGCACCGGCUAACUACGUG
rnacentral:rRNA from 1 species